rnacentral:rRNA from 1 species
UACGGAGGGUGCGAGCGUUGUUCGGAAUUACUGGGCGUAAAGCGCGUGUAGGCGGCCGAUUAAGUCUGGUGUGAAAGCCCGGGGCUCACCCUCGGAAGUGCGCUGGAAACUGGUCGGCUAGAGUACGGUAGAGGAGAGUGGAAUUCCCGGUGUAGCAGUGAAAUGCGUAGAGAUCGGGAGGAACAUCAGUUGCGAAGGCGGCUCUCUGGACCAGUACUGACGCUGAGGCACGAAAGCGUGGGGAGCAAACAGGAUUAGAUACCCCGGUAGU